GACGAACGCUGGCGGCGUGCUUAACACAUGCAAGUCGAACGGAGUGGCGACCGGGUGGGUCACACGUGGGUGACCUGCCCUGAACUUCGGGAUAAGCCUGGGUAACUGGGUCUAAUACUGGAUAGUGUGGGAUGGGCCCGGGGCCUCUCAGCUUGUUUGUGGGGUAAUGGCCUACCACUGCGGCGACGGUUAGCCGGCCUGCGGGGGUGGACGGCAAAAUUGGGACUGAGACACGGCCCAGACUCCUACGGGAGGCAGCAGUGGGGAAUAUGGCACAAUGGGCGGAAGGCUGAUGCAGCGACGCCGCGUGGGGGAUGACGGCCAGCGGGUUGAAAACUCCUUUCACCAUCGACGCGGUAGAUGGAGAAGAAGCACCGGCUAACUACGUGCCAGCCGCCGCGGUAAUUC
rnacentral:rRNA from 1 species